rnacentral:tRNA from 1 species
GCCUCUAUGGCGCAGUGGUAACGCGUCGCACUUGUAAUGCGAAGAUCCCUAGUUCAGUUAGUCGACCCGCCGAGAUUGGUGCUGAGCAGUUCAAUCUAACAACAAUUAGAUUCUGGGUGGAGGCA